UCCUACGGGGGGCAGCAGCCGCGGUAAUACGUAGGUGGCGAGCGUUAUCCGGAAUGAUUGGGCGUAAAGGGUGCGCAGGCGGUCCUGCAAGUCUGGAGUGAAACGCAUGAGCUCAACUCAUGCAUGGCUUUGGAAACUGGAGGACUGGAGAGCAGGAGAGGGCGGUGGAACUCCAUGUGUAGCGGUAAAAUGCGUAGAUAUAUGGAAGAACACCAGUGGCGAAGGCGGCCGCCUGGCCUGUUGCUGACGCUGAGGCACGAAAGCGUGGGGAGCAAAUAGGAUUAGAUACCCCGGUAGUCCGAAGG
rnacentral:rRNA from 1 species